UGGCUGACACCCGCAGCGAGCUGGAGUCAUUCUGGGGGACCACACGAGGCUGUGCGUGCCCUUGACACCGUGUGCAGAGAGGGCGCGGCUUAAAGAGGCGGAUGUCCAAUUGUCAUUUGACUGUUUUUCUCUCUAGUUUCUACUUUACUGGUUUAACGAGUCCCCAAGAUCCUCGGCUCCAACCCGGGCUUACAUUUUGGAUUGCUGAUGAGGCUCAGAACAUGCGCGUGCCCCAGCGUUUCACACCGACAGGCAGAGACACACGGGGUGGUCCUUCUCACGGGCCCUCCUCCUCCUGCACCCGCCUGGGGCCUGCGGGCCCGGCAGCCCCGGGUGCCCUGCACGCGCCCUGCUGCCUCCCUGGGACCCCUGCGGCCACCUGCCAGCAGCCGACUUGCUGAGCUAGGAUUUCCCGUGUUGGAAACAGGAAGAAUAAAAAAUAAUCCUCUGGUUACGCAGAGACCCGGUGAGCAGAUCAGUGCGCCCUGAGCAGGCCCCUCAAGUGCAACCCAGCUCUGACCUUCCGCAGAGACCCCCUUCUUCCCAUUAUCGAUUCUUUAAUGGCAUCUAAUGAUGAUGCCUGCGUCCCAGCUCUCCGUACCUGAAGCACACGUCUCACCCCCCCAUCUGUCUAAAUCCUACCUGUACUCUCAAGACACAUCUCAAAUAUCAUUUCAAAUGUCAAAUAACAGAGUGAUCUUUAAAAAAUAUAAAUCAGAUCAUGUCGUUCUCGUGUUUAAAAUCUUUAAUGGUUCCGACUGCCCUUUCCACACAGCCGGAGGGCACCCUGCACCAGGCCCACAGCCCCCGUUUGGGUGCCCAGUGUGCUGGCUGCCUCCAGCCCCCAGGCCAGGCCUGGCUCGUACAGACUGGGGGGCUGGACCCUUGGUGCCCUUCGCCAGGAACGUCUUCCCGGCUUCUGCCUGGCCUGUGUCGCAGCCAGGUCCUUGUCCAAGUACACGGAACCUGGGGGACCCUGGCCCUGAGUGCCCACGCAGGGUAGCUGCUGCGGCGUGCACGCAGCGGCCCCGGUCCCCACCUGUGGAGGUGACGUGUGGCCCCAGGGGCCUCGCAGAGGCAAUGGACGGUGCAGGCGGUGAGAGCGUGAGGCGGCUGCCCCCAAGGGAAUCGUGUGUUCCGGAAAGUGGGAGGGGGCAGGUGGGUCAGAGAGGCCGUGGGAAGGGCUCACCCUGCCUUGCUGCCUUGCAGGAUGUCACAGGGGAGGGGCCGCCUGCCAGGGACGCAGGUGGCCCCAGGAGCUGGGCGCGGCCCUCGGCCCUGCAACCCUCUGGUGGGGGACGGUGGUCCCAGGGCAGCAGCUGGCCCGCAGUGGGGCUGAGCCUGGGGCCUCCUCACCUUCCUGACCCAUUCACUCCAAGGUGACACAUUCUGUGGUGAAGCUGCUCCACUUGUGGUAAUUGAUUAGGGCAGCGACAGAAAACCAGGAGGGACCUGUUCAUCCCUGACCACGCCACGCAAUUCUGUUUUCUCUGAGGCUCUUGCCCUCUGAAGUGCAGUCAUUUUGUCCUGUCCCUUGUCUGUCUUCAGAGCCUACACCCCCAGCUGACCUGUGAACUUGGCAGGCAUGCCCCCCUACUCACCCUGUGGGCACAGGUGGGCGGGGGGGGGGUGAGUAGCAGGGGUGGGAGGGCAGCAGG
rnacentral:lncRNA from 1 species